CUUUGAGUAACGCUGUCAGAGCCCUGAGUUUCCCGCUUGUCUCCACCAAGGACUGGUCUUCGGCUUUCACCAAUUCAAUCCCGGUAGCAAGAAAGCAGCUGAAAACCUAAAUGACUUCUGGAUCGAUCCUCUCUCCUGGAUGCUUUGUACUACCUGACAUCUGGGACUCGUUUCCUCAACUGCAAACUGAGAGCUGCAGGACAAGUUUACCAUGUAAUAACUCCCAUUCCCUGGCUGCUGACCGAGGGUCAAGUGCUUCUCACACAGUAUUUCGUUGGAG